rnacentral:lncRNA from 1 species
UCGACCGGAGUUGGAGGGAAAUUCCUCUCCGUCUUUUUCAUAAUUUUCGGGACUCUUUCGGCGCUUUCAAAUGCUUAUACUGUCAUAGACACCUCGCCUACCGCGGAUCUGACGUUACGUUUAUCAGUUAUUUACGUCGGAUACAAGUGCAGGUAGUUUUGGCACCGUUUGUCAGAAUGGCUGGGGUAGCUCCUACUUCUUCAACAACAACAACAACAACAACAACAGAGUUGUUGCCAGGAUGUUGGGAUAUAAAACGUGUACCAAAGUAUAUAACAGAGGCAGUGGCACUGGAAGUAUUCUUCUGAACAACGUGAGAUGCAAUGGACAUGAAAGCUCCCUCUGGGACUGUCCUCACAAUGGGGUCCGUGUGCACAACUGUUACGACUCCCGUACCGCUGAACAUCCUGUGGCCAAAAGAGGUGCAUCUGCUGCCACCAUGAAACUCAAGCAGUUUAUGGCCAAUACAUUACCACGUGCCAGAUGAAAAUCGAAACGCAAACAGCAGUCUUUAUCUUCUGCCCAUGAGCUGACACAAGUGCAACACACGGCAGACCAACAUAACAUACAGCAAAACGGACCACAGGUGGCGGUAUCGGUACACAUCAAUAAAUAUGUUGCAGGAAGUGAACUUGAUAACAAGGACGUGGUGCGCAAUUACAGCGAUCCACUUUUUGUAAAUUUAAACUUCGGUGAACGCCAGAGGGAAUUGCGCAUGCUAUAAGCAUGUGAUCAUAGACGGGCACAAUUUCCCGCCAUUGCACGACAAAAACGCAGAAAACUGUCCUGCGGACUUUGAUCUUACUUCCAGUUGGACAGAUAACAAUUACAAUACACUUCCCAGAGUUAGACCAAGAAUUAAAAGACGAACCCUUGGUUACCGUCUCCUAGGUCAUCGCCCAGUACAUCACCAGGGUCAACGCGCACGACGUCAUCCACUGUCUCAUUUCCGGCCGACGGCAGCCAAGCAGCACUGGAAGAUUCUGCACUGGAAGAGCCAAGCUCAACUUCGGGUGAGUGUAACGAGGAAUCCAAAGAGCUAUCUAAAACGAAGGAUUAUUUCCCCACAGAUCAUCUUUGUGGUGAAAUGCCGUCGCUUGACAGCUCAAUUGACGUCGAUGACCUCUGAUAGCGGGCGGUUCUCUAUGACUGGAAGUGGUGUGAGUUCUUUGGUCAGUUCCAUCAUGUCUGAUGGCUGUGAGCCAGUGACCAGUCAAGCACCAGCAUUACCACCUUCAGACGUGAAGCCCCUAGAGGCAAUAUGUUUGUCAGAUGCCGUACAAACACCAGAUAUAAUCUGUGAUACAAAUGAAAGUCGCCUAUCAGCUUUAUCUCACCAGACAUAUACAUUCGCACUGAAGCAGGACAGAGCGUACAAGAAGAAGUAGAAGAAGAACCAGAUCUCCUGAUUCAGUCUCAAGGUCUCAUUCCCAAUGAUGAUGAAGAAGAUAUAAACUAUGAGGAAUUGUUUGAAAAGAACAUCGAAUUGGUGACCUCGGAGAGCGGCUUUUCUUUCGACCAGUGUCUCAUAGAUGAAGAGGGCAGUCUAAGUGACGACUUCCUGGAGUCAGGAGUGGACAUUUUUGCUGAUGAGUGUACAGAUGAGUUUCUCUUUCAAACGGCAACAGGCCGUGAUUUUGAAGAUAAAACUGACAGGUUUGAGACCUGUGAUAACCAACAAGAGGAACAUGGUGCUGUAAACGUGCAGGAAGGCCAACUGCUGGGAUGCAUGGGAGUUACUACGAUCAACUUGUUGAGGAUAUCUGCAAAGACGCCAUUGCAGCUGCUAAAAUCGAAAUCAAGACUGAAAUCGAUUAUCCAUCGAAAUUAAAUCCUUCAGAUGACUGUUGUAUUAAUGAACCCGCUUCGGGUCGAGAUAAAUAUACUGCGUCGCUGGUGAAUAAGAGUAAAAGUUUUCGUACUGAUACAGAGCCUACAAGAAAAAGUGAGGCGUUUGAAGGCCGGUAGACGCAUCAUUGAAGAGAAAAUAAGAGAGGCUCAGGAAGAGGAGCAGCUUCGUCUUGGACAGCGCAUCCGCUUCCAGAGGCAAAUCACACUCCACCGGAAAGAGAUGUUGCUUAAAACUCUGGGAUAUUUACGGGAAAAGUUGGCAGACCAAUGUACACGCCUGCAAGCCAGCUAUAAUAACGUGCUAGAGAUGCAGAGAAAUAUCUUUCGACAGCAUUCUCGUGGCGACUUAAUGCUAAGCGGGUCAACAUUUGAGCUCACUGUGUGAACUAUCCAAGUUCAAAAACCAAAUGUACAAAACGAAACGCUUGGGCGCCCAGAAGGCAAGCUAAAGAGUGCAAUGUAAUGAAAAGAAAUCAAAAAAGGAAAUCGUGAUGAGAAUAUUCUAACACAAGUCGUGUUACUUUAUACUUGAGCUGAAUCACGUAACGAGGGUACAUAAAUUGGUAAUAUAUGUAUAUUGAACAUCACGCUAGUAUGUGCUAUGUGAAUAACAAUUUUUUGUCAAUUUACAUGAGUAUGUGAAGUAGGUUAAUACAUUCAUAUAUGUUGGCUUUUCAAAACGUACCAGAAUAAUACUGUGCAGAACAUUGAUUACUUGAAAAUGUAAACUUGAUGCUUGGCAUGUUCAUCACGGUCAUGUUGAUAUCAAACAAAACAAGGAAUUUGUUUGUCUAAGAUCGAUGUGCUGAUAUGUAAUAUUGAGUAUUCACAUGUAAAUUAUUGUAGGUGUGAAGAUACCGUAGUGCAAUUUAAUUCAUUAUAAAGGAGAUCGGUAAAUCAUUAUUUUCAUCAUAUGAGUCUAACACAAUGUAAAGCAUUUUUAAAAUGCGACUAUGUAGUGACUGAAUGUGGGAUGCUGCCGGUUUAUUAAUGUUAAGCUUUUAAUAUUCCAUACUGAUAUCUCUAUAGUGCUUCACAUAUGCAAGAACAUGUACAUGUACAAUGCAAAUUACGUUACGUGUUACCAUAUCAGAAGUUCAUUGAAAAUGACACGGCUUUCACGACAAUCUUCAACUUCAGAGACAUCUAGGGGAAUAAGUUGAAGACCAAAGAAACUUGAUGCCCAUUGUUUAUGCAGGUUCUAGCCUGCAGCUAAUUAGAUAUUAUUUUAAUGAGUACUGAUAUCACCGCCUGUUGGCAAAAUAUUAUGUAUUCUGAGACUACAGAUCUACAAGCCCACAUGUGCAUGAUGUCUUUCAGAAAGUAGGUUGUGGUAUUUGAAGUAUUUAAUUAUUAUAGUUAUUUUGUUGCUUUUCCCGUCUUUUAAUUUUCUGUGAUAUUUGGAUACAUUUGUGGUCUGGAACUGUGUUAGAGGUAUGUCAUAUACACCAUAUCCACUUCAAAGCCGUGUGGACUGUAUAAUGUAUCCAAGGUGCCAAACGUAGGAAUUCUCCGAGAAAACUAACACUUAUGAAGAAUUUCUCUUUAGACUACCUGGGGUAAACGACAUUUGUCUAAUCAACAUUUGAUCCACCUUUCACGACAGUUGCCAUAAAUGUGCUACAAUCUUGGAAAUAAGCAAUUCUUUUAUAGCGUGGUCGGGUUUUUCAAUGGCCGUCAUCACUUUAAGCACUAAGUUACUGGUUGAGCGUGAAUCAAAACUGUGUCAAGAUGUUAAACAGGUGGCAAGGUUUGAUAUAUCAAAUAAUUUUGGCAACAUUUAAUGAUGGCAUUUACCUGUAAAAAAGACCAUAAAGCUGUUCUUAGAUAUUUUUAACAAGAAGUGAUUUAUGUACUUGUAAGUAAA